GGGACUCAAGGUCAGAGUAGGGAUCUGGCGUCAGGAGAACCUGCAGGGCGCCAGCUCGCUACUGCUGGCAUCCUGACAACUGCCACGGCGGACACAGGAAGUCCCCGUGGCAGCCAGAGGAGAGAGCGGAUAGUUUAACCAGCGAGUAGCGUCUUCUCACAUCGCACAAACCAACCUCCGAUGUGCCCUCCCAAGUCUGUCUCUGAGUCUGGCACUGUCUCUCUCUGCCACCUGCAGCUGUGGCCGUGGGAGCCUCCACAAGGGAGCCUGAUACCCAGUGGCCUCCUGAAACCAGAGCAGAUCUGAUCUGGGCAAGGAAGACUGGGGCACCUGGCUUUGCACCAGCCCGUGCAGGGCAGCGCCCCUGCCCUGGAUCGCACAUUCCCUCCAACGCAGGUGUUGCUCCUACCGAGGGACCACAGGCAGGCACCUUGUCUCGAGACGCGGAAGAGCCGACUCCUCUUCUUGCCUCCGCGCCGCCCGGACACCCUGCAGGGCGCCUUAGCUCCUGGCCGGGAAAGUGGGGCUAUUGGCCUCAGCCUCUCGACAGAUGCAGCGAUGGGGGGCCGUGGAUUCCAUGAGGAGAAACAUUUCCAUGAAAGGAUCAUCACUGGCCCUGCUGGGUGGGUGAGUUCCCAGCGAGGGCAGGCCUGGGAGCUCAGGAAUGUAACUGCCCACAGGGGACUUUGCUGGACCAAGGGGACUGAUGAGCACUCGGGGCGGGCAGAAGUGUGGGCACCCAGGGAGUAAAGGCAGCUGGAACUGUCAGGGCAUCUGGUCAUCACCCGACAGGGUCAAGCUCCUGGAAUCUCCAGGUACCGUGGGACUCUGAGCUCUGGGCUCCGGCCGCUGUGUGAGGUUUUAUCCUUGCCUAUCUUCCUACAAAAGUCCAGAAGGCUGGAGUUCCCGUCAUGGCACAGUGGAAGCGAAUCCGACUAGGAACCAUGAGGUUGCAGGUUCGAUCCCUGGACUUGCCCAGUGGGUUAAGGAUCCAGUGAUGCCGUGAGCUGUGGUGUAGGUUGCAGACAUAGCUCGGAUCCUGCACUUCUGUGGCUGUGGUGUAGGCCAGUGACUAAAGCUCUGAUUAGACUCCAUGGAAGCUCCAUAUGCCAUGGGUGCAGCCCUUCAAAGACAAAAAGACAAAAAAAAAGAGAAAAAUCAGAAGGCAAAGGCCGAAGGUGUGCAGAACUGGUGGAGAACAGGGGCUGCAGCACCCUGUAUUCACAGGGGAACAGGGGCUGGAGAACGGGGGGCAGGAAGAGGUGCUGCUGGGGGGGGUCACGUGACACAGAGCCCGCGGUGAAGGUGGAAUUG
ensembl:lncRNA